UACGGAGGAUCCAAGCGUUAUCCGGAUUUAUUGGGUUUAAAGGGUGCGUAGGCGGCUUUUUAAGUCAGCGGUGAAAUUUUGCAGCUUAACUGUAACAGUGCCGUUGAUACUGGGGAGCUAGGAUUUGGUUGCUGUGGGUGGAAUGUGUGGUGUAGCGGUGAAAUGCUUAGAGAUCACACAGAAUAUCGAUUGCGAAGGCAGCUCACAAAGCCAAGAUUGACGCUGAGGCACGAAAGUGUGGGGAUCAAACAGGAUUAGA
rnacentral:rRNA from 1 species